GACGAACGCUGGCGGCGUGCCUAAUACAUGCAAGUAGAACGCACAGUUUAUACCGUAGCUUGCUACACCAUAAACUGUGAGUUGCGAACGGGUGAGUAACGCGUAGGUAACCUGCCCGGUAGCGGGGGAUAACUAUUGGAAACGAUAGCUAAUACCGCAUAAUAUUGAUUAUUGCAUGAUAAUUGAUUGAAAGAUGCUAUUGCAUCACUACCAGAUGGACCUGCGUUGUAUUAGCUAGUAGGUGAGGUAACGGCUCACCUAGGCGACGAUACAUAGCCGACCUGAGAGGGUGAUCGGCCACACUGGGACUGAGACACGGCCCAGACUCCUACGGGAGGCAGCAGUAGGGAAUCUUCGGCAAUGGACGAAAGUCUGACCGAGCAACGCCGCGUGAGUGAAGAAGGUUUUCGGAUCGUAAAGCUCUGUUGUAAGAGAAGAACGGGUGUGAGAGUGGAAAGUUCACACUGUGACGGUAUCUGACCAGAAAGGGACGGCUAACUACGUG
rnacentral:rRNA from 1 species